rnacentral:rRNA from 1 species
CUUGGUGUGAAUUGCAGAAUCCCGUGAACCAUCGAGUCUUUGAACGCAAGUUGCGCCCCAAGCCGUUAGGCUGAGGGCACGCCUGCCUGGGUGUCACGC